CUCUCUCCUCUCCCCCGACUCUCCCCCUUUCUCCUUCGGGUUUUCUUCCUCCCUCCGAUUCCUCACAUUCCGGCCACCAUCCGGCGUGCAACCGGUCACCACAGGGGCGCCUCAACCCGCUCGUGAUACCAGUGACCUGGGAUUGGGGAGUUUUGGCCGUGAAAGCCCGGAUCGAAGCAAGAAGUGCUCCGGUUGCAGUUUUGGGAUUUUGCCGAUUCCCGGCCAUUCCGGCCACCUCCGGCCACCAUAUUCCCAUCGAAGGGUUCUUGGAGCUUCGGGGCUUUCCUUCACCGGCUUGAUUCGACCACGUCGAGGACGACGUACCGAGCUAUUGCUCGAUGACGGAACACGAAUGCGUGAUCGUCAGAAUAGUACU